CGCCUGGGGAGUACGGUCGCAAGACUAAAACUCAAACAAAUUGACGGGGGCCCGCACAAGCGGUGGAUUAUGUGGUUUAAUUCGAAGCAACGCGCAGAACCUUACCUAGGCUUGAACUCCUACGAAUCCGGGGUAAUGCCUGGAGUGCCGCAAGGAAUGUAGUGAGAGGUGCUGCAUGGCUGUCGUCAGCUCGUGUUGUGAAAUGUUGGGUUAAGUCUCGCAACGAGCGCAACCCCUAUCGUCUGUUGCCAGCAUUAAUUGGGCACUCUGACGAGACUGCCUGGGUUAACCAGGAGGAAGGUAGGGAUGACGUCAAGUCCUCAUGGCCCUUAUGUCUAGGGCUACACACGUAAUACAAUGGCGCGUACAGAGGGAAGCGAACUCGCGAGGGGGAGCAAAUCUCAAAAAGCGCGUCUCAGUCCGGAUUGGAGUCUGCAACUCGACUCCAUGAAGUUGGAAUCGCUAGUAAUCGGAGAUCAGACGCUCCGGUGAAUACGUUCCCGGGCCUUGAACACACCGCCCGUC
rnacentral:rRNA from 1 species